CAGAAUUUUGAAAUUUCUUGAUAGUUGUCGAUUUCUGGACCCUUGAAUCAGUUCGUUAUUGAGACAAAAAUGAGACUAUUUUUUGUGGUAAUAGUAACAGUUGUAGCAACUGCGUUGGCCCAACGAGAAAAUUAUGAAACUCUAAAAACGCCAAGUGUGGUGCCUGAUAUUGCACCUCUCGACAAUGUGCCUGAUAUUGCACCUCUCGACGACCAGCCACCAUACGCAUCAUACCGAAGUAGUUUGAACGAAGAUGCGAAUGUACGACGACGACAGAUGUUUGACGGUGAUGGCUUUUUUUCUGGUGGUUGGCUAUUCUAAUUUUAUUAGAGGUUCUUAGUACUGAUAAAAGUGAUUAUCCCGAAAA